rnacentral:lncRNA from 1 species
CUUCGACGUGAAUGAUUGCCGCCGAGACACACUUGUGAUGCCUAAACAAGGCUGGCCAACCGUGCAAACUGGGCUUACAAGAAACGGCACCUGACUCA